GCCAGUGUGGCAUAAUGGUUUGAGUGCUGGACUACAACUCUGGAGACUCGGAUUCAAUUCCCUGCUCCACCA